UCCGUCUCUCUCCCUUUAACCCCUCCCUCUGUCUCUCUCUACCCAAAUUCCCUCUUUCUCAACCAAACAAAAUCUAUACAUCUUUCUCUACCUCUCUCAGUUCUCUUUGAUUUGAGAUUUUCUUUCAUUUUUUUCUUGGAAAAACACCCAUGCAUCAGAUUUGAGAAAACACCAAUACCUCCGCAUCUCUCUCUAUCUUAAUCGAUCCGUCUCUCCCUCUCGUUGCAUCUCAUGCUCAGAUCCCAACUGUCUGUCUUUUGAGAAAGAACUUGAAGAAAUGCAAGAGAAGCAUCAGGCAAUGAGGCUUUAGAAGGAGAAAACAAGAAGCUCCUUAAGAAUGAGGAGAACUUGAAGAUCAAGAAGGAAGAGCUCCAAACAAAGGGCUAAGAGCAAGACAAGCUUCAGAUGGAGUUAAAGAAGCUGCAGGAGUUCAAACUCGUCGAGUCGGUGAAGUCUGAGAUCGGAUCUAAGAUUCUAAGGAAGCACCAUCGUCUUCAUUGUUCCUCAGAUCAAUGCCAUAAGGAGGAGCUGCUAAUCAGUUAUUAACACAACUUUAUAGUGUUGGGUAUUUAUGGACUUAUCAUUCUCGUGAUCAUCAGUACUUGUAUGGCUAUCUAGCUUGUGGCCUUGUUGGUCUCUCUACUGGUAUGGCUAUCGGCAGUGUCGAUGAUGUCGGUGUUAGAUUGUAAAUCAGCAUGAAGCUACAAGUAACAACAUUGUCAGGCACAAGGAGUUUAAUCUUCAAACACUUGGAAUUGGUGGCUUAGGUGCUGAGUUUGUAGAUAUAUUUUGAAGAGCUUUUGCAUCCCAUGUUUUCCCUCCUCAUGUGACAAAUAAAUUGUUAAUGGCCCUGAAGUUUUGAGCAAGUUGGUGAAACUGAGAAAAAUGUUAGGAAUCUAUCUGCUGAUGCUGAGAAUGAUCAAAGGGCUCGCGAAAAAAGUUGUGGGACUCUCUUAAGUAUAAGCAAGAAGGGAAUGUGGUUAAGUGAGCUUCAUUGCACGAAGAAAUUGGGUCCAACAGCUGCAGUUCAGUGGGGGAGGAUAGGAUUAUGAAAAAGGGCUUGGUUGUAAAUUACGUGGGAUUUGUUGUGAAUAACUGAAAUACGUGUAUAUUGUGGGAUUU